rnacentral:rRNA from 1 species
GACGAACGCUGGCGGCGUGCUUAACACAUGCAAGUCGAACGGAAAGGCCCUGCUUUUGUGGGGUGCUCGAGUGGCGAACGGGUGAGUAACACGUGAGUAACCUGCCCUUGACUUUGGGAUAACUUCAGGAAACUGGGGCUAAUACCGGAUAGGAGCUCCUGCUGCAUGGUGGGGGUUGGAAAGUUUCGGCGGUUGGGGAUGGACUCGCGGCUUAUCAGCUUGUUGGUGGGGUAGUGGCUUACCAAGGCUUUGACGGGUAGCCGGCCUGAGAGGGUGACCGGCCACAUUGGGACUGAGAUACGGCCCAGACUCCUACGGGAGGCAGCAGUGGGGAAUAUUGCACAAUGGGCGGAAGCCUGAUGCAGCAACGCCGCGUGCGGGAUGACGGCCUUCGGGUUGUAAACCGAUUUCGCCUGUGACGAAGAGUGAGUGACGGUAAUGGGUAAAGAAGCACCGGCUAACUACGUG